UACGUAGGACGCAAGCGUUAUCCGGAUUUAUUGGGUUUAAAGGGUGCGUAGGCGGACCCAUAAGUCAGUGGUGAAAGACUGUCGCUUAACGAUAGCAUUGCCAUUGAUACUGUGGGUCUUGAGUAUAAUUGAGGUAGGCGGAAUGUGUAGUGUAGCGGUGAAAUGCUUAGAUAUUACACAGAACACCGAUUGCGAAGGCAGCUUACUAAGUUAUAACUGACGCUGAGGCACGAAAGCGUGGGGAUCAAAC
rnacentral:rRNA from 1 species